GUGCUCACUUCAGUAGCACAUACACUAAAAUUGGAACAAUGCACAGACUGAUUAGCAUGGCCUCUGUGCAAGGAUGAUGCACACAUUCGUGAAGCAGUCAUUAAAUUUUU
rfam:Gorilla gorilla gorilla genomic chromosome, chr15, whole genome shotgun sequence